CCAGCUUUUAAUGUAUUAAACCAAAUUUCGAAAUAUUAAUUUUAAUUAGAACAGGGCAUUAAAGUAACUAUCUAUUGGGUAAAAACUGAAAGCACGGAAAUCACUCCCCCAUUUUAUGCGGCCUCUCCUCUACAAACCUCUCUAUCUCUCUCUCUUUCUCUCUCAUUUACAGAUUUUGAAGCAUCAAACCUCCCUCUACCUCCGCCGAUACAGCCGCCACCACCGCACCUCCUUUCUUCCUCCUCCCUAAACCGUCGGAGGCCCAGCAAGAUCGUCGGGCCGUCACGAUUUUCACCAUCAAAAACCUCAUCUCUCUCUCUAUUUCAACGACGAGCGGCGAGAAUCGACGCCGCCCCCUUCUCCAUCGGUCUGAAGUAGCGACCAUCAACUAUCAUCGGUCUGCUCUCCCCGCCAUCUCUCUCGCUCUCCCUUUUUCGUCGCUUCUGGCGCAGCAAGGCACUUCCUCUCUGAUUCGGCGAUGGAGACGGCAGAGGGUGGUACAGAGGGUGGGUCCGGCAGCAAGUUCUACCGCGAUCUCUUGUUGCUCGUGAACAACGCCCUUGCAUGUGUUAUUCAAUAAGAACUCAUUGGAGGCCAGCGCAGCCGUGGAGAUCCGGCGUCUCAUCUCCAUAGAGAUCUCUCAUAAAUAUGCCAAGUCGGAUUCUUCAUCUGGGAAUUAAAUCUCUUUGCAGUCUCUGUCUAAUCUGCACUUUUAUUUUUCUUUUUGUACAAAAUAAAUGAUCAAUUUUGGAAUUUGGGG
rnacentral:lncRNA from 1 species